rnacentral:rRNA from 1 species
GAUGAACGCUGGCGGCGUGCCUAAUACAUGCAAGUCGAGCGAACAGACGAGGAGCUUGCUCCUCUGACGUUAGCGGCGGACGGGUGAGUAACACGUGGAUAACCUACCUAUAAGACUGGGAUAACUUCGGGAAACCGGAGCUAAUACCGGAUAACAUGUUGAACCGCAUGGUUCAACAGUGAAAGACGGUCUUGCUGUCACUUAUAGAUGGAUCCGCGCCGCAUUAGCUAGUUGGUAAGGUAACGGCUUACCAAGGCAACGAUGCGUAGCCGACCUGAGAGGGUGAUCGGCCACACUGGAACUGAGACACGGUCCAGACUCCUACGGAAGGCAGCAGUAGGGAAUCUUCCGCAAUGGGCGAAAGCCUGACGGAGCAACGCCGCGUGAGUGAAGAAGGUCUUCGGAUCGUAAAACUCUGUUAUUAGGGAAGAACAAAUGUGUAAGUAACUAUGCACGUCUUGACGGUACCUAAUCAGAAAGCCACGGCUAACUACGUG